rnacentral:misc_RNA from 1 species
GCAAACUUGGUCAUUUAGAGGAAGUAAAAGUCGUAACAAGGUUUCCGUAGGUGAACCUGCGGAAGGAUCAUUACUGAGUGUUAAACCCUAGACUGUUGCUGGCCUUUACUUUCAAGGCAUGUGCACGUCUAGACUCAUCCCACUUAACCCUUGUGCACUAUCGAGGCUGGUUAAGCCUCGCUCUUUCAUACACCAAUUGAAGUGAAUUAGAACGUGUUUGUAAUGCUUUAAUGCAAAACAAUAAUAACUUUCAACAACGGAUCUCUUGGCUCUCGCAUCGAUGAAGAACGCAGC